rnacentral:lncRNA from 1 species
AUGCACUAAGCAUAUCCACUAUAUUCCUAGUUUAUCCGUAAUUGCAUAAAAAUAUUAAUUGAAAAGUGGCGUACUUUUAGCAAAUAAAUAUAUGCGUAUAUUUUUCCGUGAAAUGAAGAGCUCAAAAAUAUUUAAAUAUAUAAUAAAAUAAUGUCGAAUGUUUAUCUCAACAGAUGUAUUGAUCAAUUUACUUAUGUAUAUAAAUAUAAGACAUAUUCGGCUUAGAUUUAUAUAAGUCUUCUUGACAAUACGAAUAGAUGUGAAAAUAUCAAUUGAACCCUCAUACUUUGAUUUUAACGUCAUCGGGAACCUUUCCAUCUAUUAAUUUAAUAAAUAAAAAGUAAAAAAUGUAGUUUAAAAGCUAUCAAAUAAGCUGUUGCUGGACAUUACAUGUGUUGAACCAUAUCCAAACUCUUUAUGUAUGGACACAUGGGACAAUGGACAUGGAAUAAUAUUAGUACAAUAAGAAGAAGAAAUAAAAGCAUUAUAACGAUUUGAAUAGAAGAAGUGCGUAUCACUUCUCUGUUAUCAAUUAAUUAUAAUUACACAUGAUGGAUUAUUCAUAUUGGAAAAUACUCAUAGAUGACAAACAAGUCUAAUAUGAGGCAAAAACAUACAACAUUAUUAUUUUAGCAGAAAACAACCAUUAAAUGCGUUUUAUAGUAAUAAAAAUUACAUAUUUGAUUUAUAAAUUGAAAUGAAAUAUCAAUUUCAACCAAAAAUAAACAAUAAUUAAAUAUAAAUCUCAUAAAUUUAUAUACAUAUAUAAGGCAAAAUGUCCUGAGUUUAAGGCAAAAGUACUAUACACCGACAAUGAACAGUAUUAAUAAGGACAUACCCUUCUCCAAGUGUUAUUUGUCAAAGUUCAAUCUUGAUUUAAGGUGUCGAAGUUUGAGAUGUCGUUCUUUGUUAAACAACAAUUCAAUUCUUCUCUAAAUCAUCUAAAAUCACCUUGGUAUCUAUUCUGAGGUUAAUUUUGACUUCCCCGACCACUUUUUAUUGCAAGUGUGGAAAAUAUUUUAAUGGCCUACCUGUUCUUUUACGAUCAUAAACUUCUCCAUAUUUCUUGACGAUGUAUUGCAAACAAUUGAUUUGGGAACAUCUAAUUUCUUGGAAAUCGAUUUGUAUGCACUGCCUUGCUUAAAAAAUUGAACAAUCUUCUCUCUGCCUUGAAAAUAAUAUCCUUUGGUCUAGCCCAUACAAGUCCAUACUGAGGUAGUUUAUCACAUAUAAAAAGAUAAUCAAGGGAGGAUUGAAAGUACUCAAAUAAAGAAGUUCUCAACUCUCCUGAUCUUAUUUGAGUAAAAACAUAUUAAAAGUGAUAUUCUAGACUCGGAUGGAAAAAAUACGACAAAUAUUAAGAACUGGUCAUGAAAAUAGCCGAAACUUUUGAGAGUGCCAAUACUUAUGCACAUAUUAGUAUCUAAAUAAGCUAAUACAUCUUGACGAAAAACUAUCUAAAAAACAUAAUUUAGUAUUUUUUUAAUAAGCAGUCUUUAAAAAAUAUAAUUUAACGUUCAAAAAACUAACUUUUUUAAUGUUUUUGAAUAAUAAGGAUUAAUACUUAAAAAGAACUUAUUUGAAGUGCAAGUAUAAUUCAUUUUUCAUUAACAAAAAUUUGUAGUGUUAGUCGAAUGUUGGAGAAUAAGUUGAAGUUUAAAGUUGGAAUUUAUUCCUAAUAGACGUAAAAUUAUUUAACAAAUUACAUAAUCAAUUUCACAAAAUAUAACUGAAAUAAAUAAAUAUGUAAUAUAA